UUAGGUCAAGCUACAAAGGGCGCACGGUGGAUGCCUUGGCGCUUGAGGCCGAUGAAGGACGUGGUUACCUGCGAUAAGGUCCGGGGAGUUGGUAGCAAACGGUGAUCCGGACAUUUCCCAAUGGGGGAACCCGACCAGGUCGAUCCCUGGUCACCCGCACCUGAAUACAUAGGGUGCGCGGAGGGCACCGGGGGAACUGAAACAUCUCAGUACCCCGAGGAACAGAAAAGAUUCCCUGAGUAGUGGCGAGCGAAACGGGAAGAGCCUAAACCCGACCCGCGUGAUAGACGGCAGUCGUUGCGGUUCGGGAGUUGUGAGGCGCGACUGUGGACCUGCCGGUCCACGACGGAGUCCAAAAACGUGAUCGUUAGUGGAAGGCUGCCUGGAACGGCCAACCAAAGAGGGUGAGAGUCCCGUACACGAAAGCGAUCACGCUCCGGUCGAUGUCCUCGAGUACCACCCGGAAGGUCUCCAGGGUGGGAAACUCGGCAGACCAUUGUCGAAGGCUAAAUACCUCAAGCGACCGAUAGUGAACUAGUACCGUGAGGGAAAGGUGAAAAGCACCCCGGGAGGGGAGUGAAAUAGAAACUGAAACCGUGUGCCUACAAGCAGUCGAAGCGUGUUGCUGCGCAAGCAGUAGCGUGACGGCGUGCCUAUUGAAGAAUGAUCCGGCGAGUUAGCUGUAUGCGGCGAGGUUAAGGACUGACGUCCGGAGCCGAAGCGAAAGCGAGUCUGAAUAGGGCGUGGACCGCAAGGUCCGUAGUCGCAUGCACUAGACCCGAAACCGCGUGAGCUACCCAUGGCCAGGCUGAAGCGGAGGUAAUACUCCGUGGAGGGCCGAACUCUUCAACGUUGAAAAGUUGAGGGAUGAGCUGUGGGUAGAGGUGAAAUGCCAACCGAACGCGGAGAUAGCUGGUUCUCCUCGAAAUAGUUCUAGGACUAGCGUCGCGCAUUCCCUCAUUGAGGUAGAGCACUGGAUGGGCUAGGGGGCUUAUCGCUUACCAAACCCAACCAAACUCCGAAUGCGAUGAGGCCAAGCGCGGCAGUCAGUCUCCGGGGGCUAAGCUCCGGGGACAAAAGGGAAACAGCCCAGACCAACAGCUAAGGUCCCGAAAUCCAGGCUAAGUGGGAAAGGAUGUUGGAUCGCUCAGACAACCAGGAUGUUGGCUUAGAAGCAGCCAUCAUUGAAAGAGUGCGUAACAGCUCACUGGUCGAGUGAUCCAGCGCCGAAAAUCCAACGGGGCUCAAGCCUGGUACCGAAGCUUUGGAUGCGCGAGGUCCUUCGGGAUCUCGUGCGUGGUAGAGGAGCGUUCUCAGUGCAGUGAAGGUGGACCGUGAGGACCGCUGGAGCGCUGAGAAGUGCGAAUGCCGGAACGAGUAGCGAGACGUGCGUGAGAAACGCACGCGCCGUAAGCCUAAGGUUUCCUGAGGAAGGUUAAUCCGCUCAGGGUCAGUCGGGCCUAAGUCGAGGCCGAAAGGCGUAGACGAUGGACAUCCGGUUUAUAUUCCGGAACCGCUCGAGACCGUUAUCAACGAAGGGGUGACUCAGUCUGGUAGUCCCAGCGCACUUUGGCUAUGUG
rnacentral:rRNA from 1 species